GUAGCUCAGUGGUAGAGCUAUCGGCUGUUAACCGAUCGGUCGUAGGUUCGAGUCCUACC
rnacentral:tRNA from 2 species